AUCCAACUGACGAGUCCCGAAUAGGACGAAACGCGCGUCCUGGAU
rfam:Schistosoma rodhaini strain Burundi genome assembly, scaffold: SROB_scaffold0000008